AGGCAGGUACAGUUACAGUAUAACAAGUGUUUUAUUGUCAUUCCUCCUGCUUAAAGCAUUUGACGCUUUACUAUCUCUGUCUAGCUUCAUCCCUUAGUAAGACAGAGAUGCUUGAUCUCAAACAU
rnacentral:snoRNA from 1 species